rnacentral:rRNA from 1 species
GACGAACGCGGCGGCGUGCUUAACACAUGCAAGUCGAACGAAGAGCGAUGGAAGCUUGCUUCUAUCAAUCUUAGUGGCGAACGGGUGAGUAACGCGUAAUCAACCUGCCCUUCAGAGGGGGACAACAGUUGGAAACGACUGCUAAUACCGCAUACGAUCUAAUCUCGGCAUCGAGGAUAGAUGAAAGGUGGCCUCUACAUGUAAGCUAUCACUGAAGGAGGGGAUUGCGUCUGAUUAGCUAGUUGGAGGGGUAACGGCCCACCAAGGCGAUGAUCAGUAGCCGGUCUGAGAGGAUGAGCGGCCACAUUGGGACUGAGACACGGCCCAGACUCCUACGGGAGGCAGCAGUGGGGAAUCUUCCGCAAUGGACGAAAGUCUGACGGAGCAACGCCGC